GCUUUUAUAAUUUAACAUAAAAUAUUGGUCUUGUAAACCAAAAAUGAAUAAGCUUUUCUAAAAGCU
rnacentral:tRNA from 1 species